rnacentral:rRNA from 1 species
GACAGAGGAUGCAAGCGUUAUCCGGAAUGAUUGGGCGUAAAGGCGUCUGUAGGUGGCUUUUUAAGUCUGCCGUCAAAUCCCAGGGCUUAACCCUGGACAGGCGGUGGAAACUACCAAGCUGGAGUACGGUAGGGGCAGAGGGAAUUUCCGGUGGAGCGGUGAAAUGCGUAGAGAUCGGAAAGAACACCAACGGCGAAAGCAACUCUGCUGGGCCGACACUGACACUGAGAGACGAAAGCUAGGGGAGCGAAUGGG